CCUACGGGUGGCAGCAGUGAGGAAUAUUGGUCAAUGGGCGCGAGCCUGAACCAGCCAAGUAGCGUGAAGGAUGACUGCCCUACGGGUUGUAAACUUCUUUUAUAAAGGAAUAAAGUGAGGCACGUGUGCCUCAUUGUAUGUACUUUAUGAAUAAGGAUCGGCUAACUCCGUGCCAGCAGCCGCGGUAAGACGGAGGAUCCGAGCGUUGUCCGGAUUUGUUGGGUUUAAAGGGAGCGUAGAUGGGUUGUUAAGUCAGGUGUGAAAGUUUGCGGCUAAACCGUAAAAUUGCAAUUGAUACUGGCAGCCUUGAGUACAGUUGAGGUAGGCGGAAUUCGUGGUGUAGCGGUGAAAUGCGUAGAUAUCACGAAGAACUCCGAUUGCGAAGGCAGCUUACUAAACUGCCACUGACAUUGAUGCUCGAAAGUGUGGGUAUCAAACAGGAUUAGAUACCCGAGUAGUC
rnacentral:rRNA from 1 species